AGACAGCAGUAGCCACGGUAAUACAGAGGGUGCAAGCGUUAAUCGGAAUUACUGGGCGUAAAGCGUGCGUAGGCGGUUUGUUAAGUCUGCUGUGAAAUCCCCGGGCUCAACCUGGGAAUGGCAGUGGAUACUGGCAAGCUAGAGUGUGUCAGAGGAUGGUGGAAUUCCCGGUGUAGCGGUGAAAUGCGUAGAGAUCGGGAGGAACAUCAGUGGCGAAGGCGGCCAUCUGGGACAACACUGACGCUGAGGCACGAAAGCGUGGGGAGCAAACAGGAUUAGAUACCCCCGUAGUCCCUGUCUCUUAUAC
rnacentral:rRNA from 1 species